CCCUUAGAUGUUCUGGGCCGCACGCGCGCUACACUGAUGCAUUCAACGAGUCUAAAACCUGCUCUGAUAGGGGUGGGUAAUCUUUUGAAUGUGCAUCGUGAUUGGGAUAGAUGAUUGCAAUUUUUCAUCUUCAACGAGGAAUGCCUAGUAAACGCAAGUCAUCAGCUUGCAUUGAUUACGUCCCUGCCCUUUGUACACACCGCCCGUCGCUCCUACCGAUGAAUGGUCCGGUGAGGACUCAGGAUGCCUUUUGUCUCGGUUCGCCGUACAAAAGUGUCAGAAUUUGUUCAAACCUUAUCAUUUAAAGGAAGGAGAAGUCGUAACA
rnacentral:rRNA from 1 species